UUGCUUCAGCAGCACAUACACUAGAAUUAGAAAGAGACAGAGAUUAGCAUGGCCCCUGCACAAGGAUAAUGUGCACAUUCAUGAAGCUGUCCAUAUUUUU
ensembl:snRNA U6 U6 spliceosomal RNA